rnacentral:rRNA from 1 species
UACGUAGGGGGCAAGCGUUGUCCGGAAUCAUUGGGCGUAAAGCGCGUGUAGGCGGUCCGGUAAGUCCGCUGUGAAAGUCCAGGGCUCAACCCUGGGAUGCCGGUGGAUACUGUCGGGCUAGAGUACGGAAGAGGCGAGUGGAAUUCCCGGUGUAGCGGUGAAAUGCGCAGAUAUCGGGAGGAACACCAAUUGCGAAGGCAGCUCGCUGGGACGUUACGUGACGCUG